UACGUAGGGUGCAAGCGUUAAUCGGAAUUACUGGGCGUAAAGCGUGCGCAGGCGGUUUUGUAAGUCUGACGUGAAAUCCCCGGGCUCAACCUGGGAAUUGCGUUGGAGACUGCAAGGCUGGAGUCUGGCAGAGGGGGGUAGAAUUCCACGUGUAGCAGUGAAAUGCGUAGAGAUGUGGAGGAACACCGAUGGCGAAGGCAGCCCCCUGGGUCAAGACUGACGCUCAUGCACGAAAGCGUGGG
rnacentral:rRNA from 1 species